GGCCCAUUGCGAAGGUACAGGACCUAUGGACAUGAUUUCAGUGGAGAAGACCUCACUUUGUAGCUGAAUAAAAUCGUUAAAUAUCCGUAGCAACCUGGUGUAUUUUACUUACAGAUUAUCAUUUCUGGAUACCUAAAUUAAUUAACAUGCCAUCUGGUAAGGCACCAACUCAUGGGCCGAGUCAAUCGGCUUAUGUUGAUCGUGAAAAACCGGCUGAGAUUAGACGAAGUAACAUCACUGCUGCGAAAGCUGUUGCAGAUGCUGUCCGUACAAGUUUGGGCCCAAGGGGCAUGGAUAAGAUGAUUCAAGAUGCCAGGGGAGACGUAACAAUUACCAAUGAUGGUGCCACCAUCUUGAAGCAGAUGCAAGUCCUUCAUCCAGCAGCCAAAAUGCUGGUAGAGCUUUCAAAGGCUCAAGAUGUAGAGGCUGGUGAUGGAACAACGUCUGUUGUGGUAAUUGCUGGGAGCCUUUUGGAGGCAACUGCAAGGUUAUUGGACAAAGGUAUUCAUCCAACCAUUAUAUCCGAGUCCUUCCAAAGUGCAGCAGACAAAGCCUGCGAGAUCCUGGCUGAUAUGUCUGUCCCUGUGAACCUCAACGAGAGAGAGGCUCUUCUUCAAAGCGCCACUACAUCACUCAACUCUAAGGUUGUAUCCCAGUUCUCAAAUCUCCUUGCUCCUAUUGCAGUUGAUGCAAUCUUACAAGUCAUAGACCCAUCAACAGCCACCAAUGUUGACCUAACUGACAUCAAAUGUAUCCAGAAAUUAGGGGGUACCAUUGAAGAUACUGAAUUAGUGAGAGGACUUGUUUUCAGUCAAAAGGCAGCAGGCUCUUCUGGCCCACACAAAGUAGAAAAGGCCAAAAUUGGUCUUAUCCAGUUCUGCCUUUCAGCUCCCAAGACAGAUAUGGACAACCAGGUGGUGGUCUCAGAUUAUACCCAGAUGGAUCGUGUGCUAAGAGAGGAAAGGGCUUACAUCCUCAACCUAGUUAAACAGAUCAAGAAGGCUGGCUGUAAUGUACUCCUUAUUCAAAAGUCAAUUCUCAGGGAUGGCUUGAGUGAUCUAGCCCUUCACUUCCUACAGAAGAUGAAGAUUAUGGUGAUAAAGGAUGUGGAGAGGGAAGAUGUAGAGUUUGUAUGCAAGGCCAUUGGGUGCAAACCCAUUGCAAGCAUUGACCACUUCACACCUGAAUACCUGGCAUCAGCUGACCUGGUGGAGGAAGUCGUUACAGGUACCAGCAAGGUUGUCAAGAUCACCGGUGCAGCUAAUCCUGGUAAGACUAUGACUGUCCUGGUUAGGGGAUCCAACAAGCUUGUCCUAGAAGAGGCAGAACGCUCUAUCCAUGAUGCUCUCUGUGUCAUCAGGUGUCUUGUAAAAAAAAGGGCUCUGAUAGCUGGCGGAGGGGCCCCCGAGAUCGAGAUCUCUCACCGCAUGACGGAGUACAGCAACAGCCUGAGUGGCAUGGAGGCUUAUUGCUUCCGAGCCUUCGCCGAGGCCAUGGAGGUCAUCCCGUCUACGCUGGCUGAGAAUGCCGGGCUGAAUCCCAUCAGUGUCGUGACCGAGCUGAGGAACAGGCAUGCCCAGGGAGAAAAGACUGCUGGUAUCAAUGUCAGAAAGGGUGCCAUCACUAAUAUCCUUGAGGAGAAUGUAAUCCAGCCUCUGCUUGUAUCAACCAGUGCAAUCCAGCUGGCUUCAGAGACAGUGAGGAGUAUCAUGAAGAUUGAUGACAUUGUAAGUAUAAAAAGCCUGAACUGAAAAGUCUCCAGUUUUCCUUGUUCUAAAAUAGGAAUUUCAUAUUCUUCGGUGACAUGUAUUGAAACAUGAUAACACAAAUUCUUAGACAAAUCUGUUUUAAUGCAUCUGCUUACCGUGGGAGGUUACUGGAGGCAUUAUGCGUUUUUGGUCGUCCAGCCAUCCAUAAACUAAAGAACCAUUUGAUUGGUCAAUUUCAAACUAUACAUAUAGGAGUGACAAUGAUCUGAUCAGUUUUGAGGGUAACAAGAUGAGAGGUCAUUAUGUACCUGACAGUUUAGGGUUGAACUUCAGAAAUGGCUAUGUAUGAAUAUGGAAGUGACAAUGAUCCGAGUAGAUGUUGGGGUCAUGAGAUUAAAGGUCACAGAGGUCAUUGCAUAUAUUGAAAUAUCUUGUUCUAACGAUAACUGAAGAACCAUUUGAAGGAUCGACUUCAAACUCAGUUCAUAUAUGCAUAUAGGGUGGACAAUGAUCUGAAAAUGAUUAACCCUUAUCUAUCAAAUUGACCCCCCCCCCCAUCGACAAAAUUUGUCACUACGCCAUGGCGCAAUUUUUUUUACUGCACUGCUCGCUGACUUUUUACCUUAAAGCCUUGCGCAUCUUUUGAGACCAAAUUUGCGACCCCCCGGGUACGCGGUUCCGAAAUUAUGCAACAUUUGUUAAGCGCAUGUCAGACCCAAAAUUGCUCAAAAACGUGAUUCUGUGUACAAAGUCAAUGCAAAUUUUGUUUUUCAACCUAAAAAUUGAUUUAUUUUACGCUAUUUAUGAUUGCAAAAAGGUCCCCACCAAAAUGAUCCACUAAACCAUUGCGUCUAUGAAUGUGGAAGAGCCGUGGUGUAGUGGUUCUUGAAAACAGAGGGUCGUGUGUUCGAUUCCCACUGCGAAUGGGUACCCGGUAGGAUGCGAAAGCCUAUGUAGUAUUCCUAGCAAUUGAGUCUUGGAACUCUUGUUGGAAUGCUCCCCAGGGAGUGGAGAAGGUGCAUACAUUGUAUGCGGGCAUGCAAGGUUCCGAUGACCGGAGUAAUAAUAUGCUGUAAAGCACUUUAGGCCAUUAUUAUUAUUAUUGAUGUGCAUAGUCAACUUAGAAGUGUGUAACCCCAAGUCAUUGAAUUGUCUCUUUCUCUUUCUGUCUUUUCAUCAGGUCAAUGCUCGAUAACCUCUGGCAGUACAGUAGUUUGUGAACCAGUAUCUAUGUGAAUGUUGCUGAGUGGAGUCUUGUUACAGCACUGUUUAAAUAAAUAUAUACUUAACACGUUUAUGCUCCAUGUUUUGAGCAAACUCGGAAUCCCUUUCCAUCAAAUAGAUGACUGAUCCAGCGGACCAUUUCAUGAAAAAAUAGGGUCUGUGCAGUGACUUCACUGACUUGUUAUAAGCUACCGAAAUCCUUGCAUCUGAUUGGCUCAGAGCAAAUUUGUUGGUGAAAAUCUCUGAUUGUUUGUUUCAUGAAAUGCUCCCCUAGGGUUCAUGAACCACGCCAUAAACCGAGGAGAUUUAGAACAGUAAAAUAUGUUUUGAAGGAACAAACGAGUGAAUCUACUGACAUUCCUUUUGUGAAAGCAUCAUGGUCUUAUCAUCUGAGAGCAAUAUAAGCUUGAGUAGAAAUCAUUUUGAUGAAAGAGUUAGGUGUUAGAACAAACAUUUCUUGCAUGACACAAGAAAAAAGAAUGGCAAGAUUCAAACAGGCACAUUAACUCUGAAAAUAUUGGUAAUUGAAUGUGGAAUUGCCCAUCUCAUAUGAGUGUCCUACUGGUAGUGGGUCUAAGUGGUCAGCAUCAUUAAAAAUCUUAAAUAUUGGAAAGUGUUAAUUCAAAUUUGGAAUAAUUUGAAUAAUUAUUGAACCUCAAGGAAUGUUGGCAGGAGACUGCAUUCUUUGCUCCCUUGAAAUAUUUGAAGAAUUUGAUGUUCUGCAAAUAUGAAAUUGCGAUUAUUGCAGACCACUCUUUUCUUUCACCUGUACUACACUUUAAAAUGAAAGCUCUAUGACAAUGUUAUUGUGUUCCAGUCACUGAACACCCAAGUGAAUGGUUAGUUUUUUGUAAGAUUUUUUUCAGGAGGAACACUGGAUACAAUAGAUAAAAGUCAAGUCUGCACAAGUAGACCUUUUAGUUGUUAAAGCAAUUUUUCAGACCAGGUUAUGCAAAGCAUUUACAUGUUGUUUAUUUCCUCAGAGUCAAAUUUCGCCCCAGUCAAACAGAUUUCUUUGAUGACAAGGGCAGACUCGCCUGUUUAUGAUAAAAAGGAUGCAUUAAGUGAGCAAAAAGUUGAAAUUCCAAAGAGUUUCUGUUUUAAAAUCUCCUAAAUGAAACUAUCAAACUACCUUGAAAUGACAGUCUUAAAGCAUUAUACACUUUGCUUGACUUGUCAAGUGAAAGCUUCUUAAAAUGAGCAAGCUCAGGAGAAAUCUCGGAAUGCUCAUCUCUACUACCCUUUUUAAAGCAUUUUGUUGACACAAACUUUCCCAGUACACAAGAUCUUGAAUGUAAAGGCCACGUAUGAGUGGUUGAUUGUAAACUAUUUCCCUUUUGUAAUUUAAUAUUAUAUCUUAUGCAUGAUGUGCCGUUUGUUUUGUACUAUUAUUUUGAUAUAAAUAUUCAUGUAUUGUGAAUGCCAUAAAUAAUCUCUAUGCGAGAGGUAGAAUGCAUUGCAGUUCAAUAAAAGCUGAAAGUGUCAGCACUGGAAAAAUA